ensembl:snRNA U2 U2 spliceosomal RNA
ACUGCUUCUCAUCCUAUUGGCUAAGAUCAUGUGUAGUAUCUGUUCUGAUCAGUUUAAAAAGGACAUUAUAGGUCUUAUAUAAACAAAGGAAACACAUAUAGGGAGAUUUUCCAUACCAAAUACCUAGAAAGAAUCACAAAUUUCAUAAUUAUUGCAGAAUUUAAAUUUAGAGUUGGCAUAGG